rnacentral:lncRNA from 1 species
UAUCUAAAGAUUGUUAUCUCACCUGGUACAAACAGAUGGAGCACAAGACAUCUGACCAAGACAUUCAAGUGACUCAAAGGGAACAUAUGCUGUGGUUGUGUUUGUGUCAGGAUUGUUCACUGUUACAGGAAAUUUUUAAAAUGAAAACUAUAAACUUCAUCAUGGAGGCUUUUGACUUACUGAGUUGGGAAAUGUUUAUUGAAUGGCAUCUGUGUACAAGGCCCUCCGCUAAAUCCUACAAGGAGAAAAAUCAGGAAGGUCUGAUUCUUUCCUCAUGAAACUGUCUUUUGUGAGAGAAACAAGCAUUUGACCAAAAGGUGAUGGGAAAAUAAGAGAAACAGCUCUCUGUCAGACUGACAGGGCAGGUAAGACUUCACCAAGGAGCUGGCACUUGAGCUGAGUUCUGAAGGAAUACUUGCUCUCAGCUGGAGAAUUUACUCAAUGCCAAUAGGUCCCUUCUAAUACUCAGAUUCUCUGCUCCUAUUAGCCCUAAGCAAGAAAAGAAGCAUGCUAACAUUUAUCUUUGGAACCCCUUUUAAAUGUAGUCUUUCCCACUUAUGGACUAAUAUUCCACCUUGCUUGGUUUUGCCUUCCUCCCUAUCCACCUACCCCUCCCCUGUUUCUAGACUCAAUCCUCUGCCAUCCCAUUUCCCACCAUUCACAGCUACUUCCAGGUACUAAUGGUUGAUGUAAUGGCAGAACAUGAUGUCUUACUCCAUCCCACUUGGGUAGUGGCAGUUAGCAGAGACUCUUAAGGAAAGUCUGAUUCCUGAAGUCUUCCACUUUGUUGGAAACACCUGGAACAGUCUGACGAGUAUGUGCUAGAGAAUUUUAGGUAGCAGUCAUUCCUGACUGCUCCUUGACCAUCCAGCUCUUCUUCUAUGUAGUUCACCAUCAUUGUUAGAAAAUUUACAAUUCAGUAGUCUUAGAAAUUAUUAAAAGUUGAGUAAAAAGUGACCAGAUCUUGGGGCCCCUGGGUGGCACAGCGGUUAAGCAUCUGCCUUCGGC